rnacentral:rRNA from 1 species
AUGGGGCGCAGCAGGCGAGAAAACUUUGCAAUGUGCGAAAGCACGACAAGGUUAAUCCGAGUGAUUUCUGCUAAAGAAAUCUUUUGCAAGUCAUAAAACCACUAGUGAAUAAGGGGUGGGCAAGUUCUGGUGUCAGCCGCCGCGGUAAAACCAGCACCUCAAGUGGUCAGGAGGAUUAUUGGGCCUAGAGCAUCCGUAGCCGGCUCUGUAAGUUUUCGGUUAAAUCCAUGUGCUCAACGCAUGGGCUGCCGAAAAUACUGCAUAGCUAGGGAGUGGGAGAGGUAGACGGUACUCGGUAGGAAGGGGUAAAAUCCUUUGAUCUAUCGAUGACCACCUGUGGCGAAGGCGGUCUACCAGAACACGUUCGACGGUGAGGGAUGAAAGCUGGGGGAGCAAACCGGAUUAGAUACCCGGGUAGUCCCAGCUGUAAACGAUGCAGACUCGAUGAUGCAUUGGCAUAUAGCCAGUGCAGUGUCGCAGGGAAGCCGUUAAGUCUGCCGCCUGGGAAGUACGUACGCAAGUAUGAAACUUAAAGGAAUUGGCGGGGGAGCAC